rnacentral:rRNA from 1 species
GCUGUUAAGGGUUCGUAGUUGAACUGUGAGUUGGCAAGCAAACGGCGGAGCCCGUGCUCUGAUUGGACACGAGGUAAACCAGCCGCUCUUUCAACUUGAGAACAGAGGAACGAAUACACGGGUCGGUACCACCCAAUUCACGCAUACAAUGUAUGCAGGGGGCGCCCGUGAUACUUACUGUGCAAAAGAAGUGUGACCAAAGCAGUCAUUUGACCUGAAUUAGAAAGCAUGGGAUACAAAGGAGCAGCCUACAGGCUACCGUUUCGGCUUUUGUUGGUUUUAAAAGCCCGUGGGAGUUAUGGACGCGCAUGACAAGUGACAAGGCUAUCUGGCCUUGCUUCGCUGCCUGCGUUACUCGUGGGCUUGCGUCGUCCAGGAAUGAAGGAGGGUUGUUCGGGGGAGAACGUACUUGAGCGUGGAGGUGAAAUUCUUAGACCGCUCAAAGACGAACUACAGCGAAGGCAUUCUCCAAGGUACCUUCCUCAAUCAAGAACCAAAGUGUGGAGAUCGAAGAUGAUUAGAUACCAUUGUGUCCGUCCCUUU